ensembl:lncRNA
GUUUCUUGUCAGGAUAAAUCCUGAAAUUUCAAAUGCAAUUCUGAUUUCCAGGGCCCUCAUUUAUCAACAGUGCGUAGAAAAGGUUCUAUAUUUUUUCCAACGAAUAAAAUUUAGAAUGUGCCUAAGUACAAGAAAAUCCGCAUUUAUCAAACGUGCGCAUGCAGUUCUUACGCACAUGAGUAAGCAAUCAUUGUUGAUAAAUACCACAUGUGCAAGUACCAUGCUCGUUCACAUUCAUGGUCAUUAGCAUUCGGAAACGCCUCCAAUUAACCAUAUAUGGUGACAACACUUCCCUUUAAAAAUUACGUGAUUGUGUUUUUUCCUCACUGCAAUAAUGGCAAAGAGAGCAAAGAAGAGGAACUUCACAAACACAGAAUUAGAGAUACUUGUAAAUGAAGUUGAAUCCAACCAACAGAUAUUGUUUAGUUCAUUCACUGCAGAAGGAAUUACAAAUAAAAGAAAAAAUGCUGCAUGGGAGAAUGUCACCAAUGCAGUUAAUUUCGUUGGGUCUGAGGAGAGAACUGUCCCAGAAAUUAAAAAAAAAAGAUUUGAUAUUAAAGUAUUGGCUAAAAAACGUGUCACAGCACACAGACGAGAAAUGUCCGCAACUGGAGGAGGACAGACAGCAACGGAACUUUCCCCAAUGGACAUCUGCAUAGCCUGCAUCAUCGGAGACACGGCUCUGUCCGGGAUUAGUAAGGACAGUGACACUGAUGCUCUUGCGACAGAACAAACCGGGCCAUCUAACACCCAAAGUGAAGCGACACCCGUUGUGCCUGAGGAGCUUGAGGAGCCGGGCCCAUCCAUUGCCCCUUCCAUGCGCCGUGCGCCAAGAGUGCUGAGUGAGGCGGUGCUACAAAAUCAAGAGGAAACAACAAAAUCCAUUAAUGACCAAAAGGAUCAACUGAGCAACAUAACGAAUGUAUUGAUUCAAAUCAACGAGUCUCUAAAACAGAUUGCCUCUUGUGCAAAUACAAUUGCUAAUAAACCAUAAACUGCUGACUAAUGUGAUUUCAGUUAUUUGUUUCCACGAAGCUGCAAAACACAAAAUGAAAUCGCUGUAAUGUUUCUGCACUCGACCAAUGGCCAGACUUACCUAAAAUGUCUGUAUGAUCCUCUGUCUUGUCUGAAUGCCAGCGGCAUUAGGAGGUGGCAGGGGCACUGCAUUAGGCAUAGGGCCGUCUGGUCUUGGGGGUUCCUGCAGAGGGAUGCCCUGUCUGAUGGCCAAGUUGUGUAGCACACUGCAAGCCAUGAUGAUUUUGCAUGCUUUUUCUGGCUGAUACUGCAGUGUCCCUCCCGUGCUUGACAGACACAGCCAUCGUCCUUUCAGCAGGCCUAUUGCGCGCUCAACUGUGCUCCUUGAGCGCCCAUGGGCACGGUUGUACGCCUGUUCCUGCUCGGUCCUCGGGUUGGUUAGGGGGGUCAUUAGCCAUGGCUUUAGCGGGUAACCUUGAUCACCUAAUGAUGAAAUAGUUUUAAGUAAUUGUACAUAGCCCUACAAUAGCAUUUUAAACAUGUUGUAGCCUUAAAUUCCCCAAUGAGCCAGCCAUCCUCAACAGCGCCUUCUUGGAGACGCACACCCACAGAGCUAUUCUGCAGAACGAACGAGUCAUGUGUUCCUACAGGCCACCGCGCAACGACGUUUAAUAACAACAAAUUUGCAUCACAAAUUAUUUGCACGUUAACAAAAUGAAACCCUUUUCUAUUUACAUAAUUAAAUUCGUUGGUUGAUGGUGCUUUUAUGGCGAUGUGGGUGCAGUCUAUAGCUCCAAUUAUGUUUGGGAAUCUAGCAAUGGCAUGAAAGUCACGUUUUAUUGCGGCUUGUUGAGGAUUUCGAUAAGGGAACUGGAUGUAGGUUGGGGCCAAGGAAAUAAUUGCAUCCAACACUGCCGGCAUGAUCCUACUCACUGAUGGCUGGGAUAUACCACAUAUGUCUCCAACCUCACGCUGAAAUGUGCCAGUAGCUAAAAAUCCAAGGGUGGACAGGAGUUGGAUGUGCACGGUAAUGGCUUUCAUGCGAUUUGUUUCUCUCUCCAACACUGGUCCUAAAUCACGACACAAAUCCAGCAGUACAUUUUUGGGAAAGCGGUACCUACUUAGAAGCCACUCUGUGCUCUCGCCAAGCAGAUCAGCGCGAUUUG